rnacentral:misc_RNA from 1 species
GAUGAAGAACGCAGCGAAAUGCGAUAAGUAAAGUGAAUUGCAGAAUUCAGUGAAUCAUCGAAUCUUUGAACGCACAUUGCGCCCGCCAGUAUUCUGGCGGGCAUGCCUGUCCGAGCGUCAUUUCAACCAUCAAGCCCCGGGCUUGUGUUGGGGACCUGCGUCCGACGCAGGCCCUGAAAACCAGUGGCGGGCUCGCUGUCCACACCGAGCGUAGUAACUAACCUCGCUAUGGAGUGGCGCGGGCGCCUGCCGUAAAACCCCCAAUUUCACAAGGUUGACCUCGGAUCAGGUAGGAAUACCCGCUGAACUUAAGCAUAUCAAUAAGCGGAGGA